GAGUUUGAUCCUGGCUCAGGACGAACGCUGGCGGCGUGCCUAAUACAUGCAAAUCGAGCGGACCGACGGGAGCUUGCUCCCUUAGGUCAGCGGCGGACGGGUGAGUAACACGUGGGUAACCUGCCUGUAAGACUGGGAUAACUCCGGGAAACCGGGGCUAAUACCGGAUGCUUGAUUGAACCGCAUGGUUCAAUCAUAAAAGGUGGCUUUUAGCUACCACUUACAGAUGGACCCGCGGCGCAUUAGCUAGUUGGUGAGGUAACGGCUCACCAAGGCGACGAUGCGUAGCCGACCUGAGAGGGUGAUCGGCCACACUGGGACUGAGACACGGCCCAGACUCCUACGGGAGGCAGCAGUAGGGAAUCUUCCAGCAAUGGACGAAAGUCUGACGGAGCAACGCCGCGUGAGUGAUGAAGGUUUUCGGAUCGUAAAACUCUGUUGUUAGGGAAGAACAAGUACCGUUCGAAUAGGGCGGCACCUUGACGGUACCUAACCAGAAAGCCACGGCUAACUACGUGCCAGCAGCCGCGGUAAUACGUAGGUGGCAAGCGUUGUCCGGACUUAUUGGGCGUAAAGCGCGCGCAGGCGGUUUCUUAAGUCUGAUGUGAAAGCCCCCGGCUCAACCGGGGAGGGUCAUUGGAAACUGGGGAACUUGAGUGCAGAAGAGGAGAGUGGAAUUCCACGUGUAGCGGUGAAAUGCGUAGAGAUGUGGAGGAACACCAGUGGCGAAGGCGACUCUCUGGUCUGUAACUGACGCUGAGGCGCGAAAGCGUGGGGAGCGAACAGGAUUAGAUACCCUGGUAGUCCACGCCGUAAACGAUGAGUGCUAAGUGUUAGAGGGUUUCCGCCCUUUAGUGCUGCAGCAAACGCAUUAAGCACUCCGCCUGGGGAG
rnacentral:rRNA from 1 species